UUCAUUUACAUUUGGGCUGCGGCGUGCGGAUUAAAAAUAACGUUUCAACUUCCUCCUCGCUGUCAGCGCGUCCUUGACGGGUGCAGGAUGCGGCGUAUGGCGAGGGUUGGUGGAGGGAGGGGCUUGUUGUCCUAUCAAGUCUCCCCAUGCGUACCAGAUAAGGACUAGUCAAGAAACAGGAAGUGAGCGGGGCUUUUACGGGCUUACUUCCUGCGUGUGGAACCAGCGAUAUGACCCCUGUGUGGGCGUCAAAUGACUAUGGAGUCACAAAGAGGAUCUUAUGGAGGACUAUUGUUUAUUCCAACCACAGUGCCAGUGUCUAAAUUUAGUUGUGAGGUAAAUUAUCUGGAUUUGAAGGAAAACCCAGCAAGGGGAUCAUUUUUGAGAGGUCCAGGAACCUUUGUAGGGCUUAAGUGAAUGUUUAAGUGCCGGGAAUUCAACGGUUUCAGAACUUGAGGUGGCGUUUGAGAGGUCCACGAACCCACGGGAAGGAGCUUUCAGUAUUGAUCCAAUCACUAGAGGUUCUUAGAAGUCUAGGAGCUUUAGGAGCAGAGAUUCCAGCCCUGGGUUUUAUAGUUCAAGGAACUACAAGAACUUCCAAAAAAUCUUAAAACUUUAGACAGCAUAUGAUCAGCACGAACGUUACUCCUCACCUAAGGCAUUUUCUCAAGACCAUCGUCAGAAUAAAGUUUUGGACCUCGUAUAGGAACAGGAAGCGAGCUGGCUUUUUACGGACCGACUUCCUGCAUGUGGACCGAGUGAUAUGCCCCGUGGAGUCAUUUCCUGGAGGUGGCGGGGUGACUUCCUGAAAUAGUCUGACCCCCACGUGCAUGUGUGAGUGUGUUUGUGUCGGGAGGUUAUCUCAGGUGAGCAUCUCUUAUCUCUUUGAGUUUCACUGACUCGCAGCAGCAGCAGAUGGUCAAGUUACGUCCUCAUGUAUUUGUUAUCUGGCACUGGCUUUCCUCUAAACACGCAACUCACCCAGGUCUUUAUCUCCCACUUCAAGCCCGAAAGCUGCUAUCCAUGUCAAAGAGAGCAUACAUGGGGAGUGGGAUUAGGCCUUAGGGGAGGUAAUGGAAGCUCUACGCCGGACCACUGUGACGGACGGGCCUGAUAAUAAACAACAACAGAAUCCAGCUGGCACCACCACUUCCUAUUUCUUCAUCAAGUUUUACCAGGACGGGUGUGUGUGUCGCUACCGUCGCAGUUUUGCCAUCCCGGACCCCCGCGUGUCAGGAAAUCCUGGAUUUCCUCAACAUGGACCCCCCUCUCGACUGGCUUAAGAGUGUAGGAUGAUGAUGGCGCUAAUCUCUUCAUCAAACGGCUAAAUAAACAUUUGAGCAAGUGUGUGUGAGGCAAGAGGCAUUGAGUGCAAAUGUGGACAAAAGACAAUCAGUUGUGGGGGGGGGGGUCGAGAUUGUGUCAUCGGUCGACUGGAUUGUUUUUGAAAAGUUCCGGAAACUGGGUGGCUGUCACCAUACCGAAAUGAUACUAAACCGACACUGGAAAAAAAUUGCAUUAGCAUUAAGCUAAUAGACUGAUACUCAACAACAAUUCUUUUGGUGCUUAAAUAUUUGGUCCAAUGUUUAUUUUUGAUUUUGGAUGUCUGAUUCAUAGACUUUGUCUUCCAUAGCAGCAUCGGAUGUCUCUCAAUGUUUGCCAUACUGGCGCCGGGGGUGGAGUAAAGUAUGCUACCGCAGAACGCUCGUCCGACUUUUGACUUUUUCCACAUAAAAACAUUCUACAUAUUUUACUGGACUGACUCAUAAACAGCAUGAAGCAUACUUGGCUACGUUUGGUGAGGAAGAAGAUCAUCUGCAAGAUGUCUUUCCAAGAGAGGAGAAACUGACAUAUUAUGAAGAGUUACGGAAUGAAACAUUCUUUCAAGUACCGUUCGGUUGGACUCAAUUUUUCAUCCAAUACAUUUCAAUCGACUGAUUUUUGAUAGGCCUAAUGUAAAAAUACGUAGCAUCCAACUAUAUUGCACUCCGACGUUCCCACGGAUGGAAGCUCCACUUCUCACUUGUACAUGGUACCGCAUUUGAACCGUGUGUCAUAUCUAUAUUUACAGAAUCAAACGAAUCACACUCAGUCAUUUGGCCGAAAAAGCACGUUAAUUACCGUG